GUAGUAGUAGUCUAUUAGUAACCGCUGAAAUACCAGAGAAAAAAUGGAAGUGCACUAUUGAAGCUAUCAGUGUGAUUGAUCCGACAAGUACUUUUAGUGGACGCUAUCAAAGAUGAACGGAAAGGUUCGAGCAAUAUUCUUUGCGCCUGAGGCGCAUCAAAAAGAAGGUUGAAGAUGACCUUGAUUUUUCUUUCAUUUCCGAAUUCGCUUGCGACAAGUCCUAGCAUUAGUAUGAGUUCGUUGACCGCGUAAGGGCAAUCCAUCUUGAUGACGAAUUCCACGAUAACAAGAAAGAGAAAUUAAUCGUUCGAUGUCUGCUCGUUCUCCCCUCUUCAAUUCCCAAUUCACAAUAUGAUCUUUUCCUAUCACUUGUUCAAUUUUUUCGAUCUGAUACUUAGUUAACUCUUUGAUCUUUAUGUUCCCACUGAUACCUAAUCGAUAACGAACCUGAAUGGCUUUUUUAGGUCCAAUUCCAUCAAUUUGAGUUGAGGCAAUUCUGACUUGUUUAUCGGCAACGGAUCUUGCUCCUGAAAUAUAUGACAUUCUUGAUCCUUCCUUUUACUAGUCUUUCUUCUCGGGCUGGAAUCAUAAAUGAGUUCUCUCCUCUUGAAUGAUCUUUUCUAUAGGUCGAACUACUGUGAGCGGUCUAAACUUCGACCCGGAUUGAUGAAGAUUAUGUUCUCGUACCCAAGCCCUGAAAAAAGAGAAAGAGUCUUGUGGAGGAGAAUUUCACACUGAUCUGACUAAAGAAGUGAGAAAGUGCUCCGCGAUGGGUCGCCUCGCGGUCUCAAAAUGGAAGUUUUUCGCCUUUAGGUCUUUUAGGGCCGCAAAAGAAAAGAAGAAACCCCGACGAAAGAUCGAAGUGGUCUCGUGCGCCAAAAGAAGGCUAUAAUGGAAGGCAUAAAAAAAAAUCUGACUUGGUCUGAGCUGCCUGCGGUUACAGAAUCGCCCGCGUCAAUAUUCUUUGAACCUUGACUCUCUCUCUAGAAAAAAAAAAAGCUUUCUCUGGUAAGCCAUUCAGACUCCCAGAAAGAGAAAGCCUAUGGCCCAGGUUUUGAUUAAAGAACCUUCGACUUGCUUGCAUGUCUUAAGCAUAUAGCUAGCCUUCCUUCUGAGCCAGGAUCUUUCUAUUUGAGUAUGAUUGGGCCUGCUAGACUGCCACGGAGCGGUUGCCGGGCGUACUACUUCACUGAAGAUUGAUUCUCUCUCCUGAACUAUGUAGUACGUUAUAUAUUCUUUAAGGCAAAGAAUGUGAUAAUGAAAGAAACUACAUAAAAAACCGAGAUUCGUCGACAUUUGCGUCUCAGCUUACUCCUGUCUCAGACCACGACUCUGUCCUUGAGCUUGUGGGUCCUAUAAAAGACAAUCUCCCGAUGCUCGACAGAGAGGUAUGUACCCUGGAUAGAUCGUCUCGGGUUGACUUUCAAACCAAGCAGGAAAAAGCCUCAUAGUUUACAAGGUUAGACACAGACAGCAAGCCAAGGCACCUCGCUCGAUCCCACGGAGCGGGAUCAGGUUAGUAUGGAUAGUCCUUCGCAAAUUCUUUGCGCGGGUAAGAUCAAGAUCCUUUUUUCAGAGAAAAAGAAAGGAGCAAAGAAUUAUCGAAGCGAAGGCUAGGUUAAUAUGGAUAGUCCUUCGCAAAUUCUUUGCGCGGGUCCAGAUGCGUCACAGUCCGAAGGCGCAAUUCAAUAUGCGUUGAGAGGCGCAAUUCAAUAUGCGUGAAGAGAGGCUCAAUGUAAUAUGAGUUGCGGAUUUGAGAGAAAGAUUAGACUGACUCCCUACUCAAUCCUUUCUAGCUUAGGCUGCCACUGACUCCGCGAGCGAUGAAAGAAUGAGUGGAUUCAUCCACAAGGUGCUUUAGGUGGAUCUGAUCCAUAGUUCGGAUUCGGAAAGGCUAUCUUGAACCGCUGAGGUUCCCGGCUUGUGCCCCUAGCUAGUAGGUAGGUUCAAGCACUUUUGGCAUCAGAUCUCUUUUCAUUGACUUUUGGGGGCUUUGAAAACGAGUGAAAGCGGGUGGGAUGGAGCUCUUUGUAUUUGAGAUAGUUUCAUCCUCGUCUGCUGUCUCUGCUCUCUGAAUUUCUGAUUCCGCGGCACCAGUCAACACAGUCCUAUUUUUAGGGGAAGAGUUGCAGAAGGAAAGGGGCAGCUAAUUUCAUUGAUUCUCUCUCUUAUUAGACAAGGCAAUUUCUUGAACUUCAGACAGCUAGAGAGAAAGCCGAUCCACUAUCGGGUGACGGAGCCAUUGGGCCAAUCGAUAGGGGAAAAGGAGCUCAGCACCAUGGGGCAAGUCCUAUCCUAUUCCCUUUGUUCCACUCCUCUCCGUCUCCAAAUUUGCACUCCUUUACAGUGGUGGAAUUCUGAAAGAAAUGCAACGAGGAAUUUCCUGUGAACGCAUUCCCUCUCGUUUUCCUUGUUCCCUAUUGGCGUAGAAGGAUGCCAUUAUUCAAUGACCUCAUUAGGUCAAAUGCGCACCCUUGUUCAUUGAGGCGGUUUUGGGUAUAGGUGAGAUCUCUCAACGGGGAUGUAUUUUCUAUCAAUAUCUUAGAAUAUAGAAAGUUGCGAUUUACCGGCAUUCUUCAAAACUCAAAGAAAGAGAAGGUGGCGAAGCCGAACUUAUGAAAAGUAUGAAAGAUCAGAUAAGAAAUAAAGCACUGACAUUAAGUAAGAUCAACCACUAUUUAUCGCACUGAAAGGGAUUGAAUAUCAGAUGACUGAAUUAUUACUUUCAUCUUUCUAAUAUCUUUUUCUUACUUGAGCUGUUUCGCGCCUCCGGCUUCUUAUUGCAUUAUCAGGAGUCUGAUCUUCGGUUUCCUUAGACUGACGGUUCUUUCGCAUUCCUCUUAUUUGCCCUAGGGGGCUUCUAGAAGGAUUCUUCCGACAGGCUUUGCCGUAGGUAGGCUUUGACUCUUCCUUAUCCUUAAUGGGCGUAGGCUUUUUGCCUUGGCCGACGGAUCGAGCUUUCCGAUCUGGAAUAAGCGACUUUUCCUGCAACUUCAACCUCGGAAAAGAAAGCGGACGGUGGUCGAUCCCAUGAUAAGAAGACAAGCUAGAAAAACUUCCACAAGAAAAGCGACUGAAGAAAGAAGAUUUUGCCCAUUAUCGAUAGUCGGACCUCUUUUAUCCAUUUCAUUGUUGCGGGACCUCUCUAUUCCAUUUCAUUUGUUGCGGUAGGCUUUCUUUCCAAACCUACUAAAUAAAGCCUAUCCUUUUCUUUCUUAAGUUUCCUUUAAGCCCUUUACAAGGUAAGGACUGAAAACUCAAAGAAAGAAGGUUCUUCUCCAAGGCAUGAGUCAAAGAAAAUGCUUUCUCUAUGUAUCUAAUGCAAGACCCGUCGAUAAGCUAAGGCUAGGAGACCAUGAGGACAAGUCCAUUCUCUUUUUCUUUCGCCUUCGCCCUCCCGUGCACCCGCCGGGGCCGAUCCCUAUACUAAGAUAGUCGGGCCAGAGGUCGCGCAGCAGCUUCCCGUGGAGCCUCCUGCGGAUCAUCAGCCCGGUUGGGCUCAACCUCAGAGAAAGGUUGAGUGAAGAGGAAUCCAUAUAAUAAGGCCUUUCGCCGGCUAAUCUCUUCCAAGGAGUAUCGGGGGGUGGAAGGGCAAAUUCACCUUUUUGAGGCUCGGGCCGAAGAGCUAAAGCAAAAGGCCGACGAGCUCCUUCAUCCUCCUUCCAUUCCAGUGGAUGAAGAGUCAGAUGUGGGGCUGGCAAUCAAUCUUCUCUUGGAGAAGAAGAGAGGCGACCGCCCCGUGGGAUUCCUCUCCAGGGCGAUUCAGGCGAUUGAGAAUGGCAAAAGCCGCUUCGCUCCUUCCCUCCAAAUCCUCGAUACGCUCUCUGGCAGCGCGAAUGCGCCCUUCUUUCCUGGCAGGAUCCAGUCUUCUAAGACUCCUCAAAAAGAGGUUUAGCACUCUACGGCCUCAUCUCAUUUUUCAGUUGCCCCAUUUCUCUUUCGGCAGCAAUUGCAGAAAGCCUCUUUGCAGCCUGCUAGUACUCAAUUUCUUUGAUUUUCAUUUGAUGAGUAGCCUCCAUCUUCUUGAUGUUGAGAUCCGUGAAUAGUACUUCUUCUUUCAUCAGACUGGGACUACUUCCCCUUCCUCUUUCAGUUAUCUUUCUACCAGAGUUGUAGAGGAAUCUCUCCAUGAAGUAGGAAUUGGAUGGCUGGCACAAUUCUGACUAGUUCGUAGCACUACUUUUCUGCAGUGAAAAUACUCUUCUGCCUAUUUAGUGAAAAAACUGGCAGGCUCUGGCUACCUUGCGGAGCAAAGAAAACCCAAAUCACACUGCCUCUAUGAAGAAAGAAAGUAGACCCCUCCUCUAUUACGAAAAUAUGAUUCAUAGUCCUUCGCUAUUUUAGUUCCAUUAAGAAAAAUCAGUCAGAAGGCGCAAAGAAUAUUGCCUUUAUUUAGGAUCAAUGAAAUUUGAUGAGAGGAGGGCUCAGGUUAAUAUGGAUAGUCCGGAGGACCUCCUUCAGCAUAAUGUCGUUGGGGAAGUUCUUUCCGUCCUCUCUCUUCUUUCAUUUUCAUAUAUAUAUGAAAUCAAGCAGGAACAUGAUAAGUGGAAUUAAGAGGUCCGACUAUCCACUAGCGCUCCAAACUGUCUAAUGAAAGAGUGAACUCGACAAAGUAACCUCGACAGGACUAGGCGACCCCUUAGCCCUUUCCCUGGAUCGGCUGAUAAGUCAUCUCAUCCAAAAAGACUGGGUUUCCAUCACCCUACGCUAGUCAAUAUUCUUUGAACCUCUUUGGAGUUGUCUUUCUUCUUUCUCUUAGCAUUCCUUGCCAAAAACAAAGGCUCUAGCUGACGUAGGAGGAGGAGUUUCCAACCUUGCCGUAGGUUUCUCUUAGCAUUCCUUUUAGUAGGUUGUAAUAGUCAAGUAAAUCAUCAAAACCUUCGCACCUCUCUUUCUAAAAGAUAAAAAAGGUCUGAGCCCCUUUCGUCUUUUCCUCUCUUCUUUCCCCAUUUACAGGGGAUUGACUAACCCCACGGAUAUCUUGUCUUAGCUCAGCCUCUUAUAGCGAGCAAGCAAAGCCUACUUCUACUUUCUUGGUGGGCCCGCUAUUUGAUCAGCGGAUCAUAAAUGAGCCCAGCUUCGCUAAACUCGCACGCACCGACUGGCGGUCUUCACGAAAGAUUGUUGGCAUGCCUCCCAUAAGCAUAAGAAGAAAGAAGGCUGAUAAGGAAACCUAUGAGACCGCCUUGUUCUGCCCAUAGCGGUGAAGCAGAAACUAAAGGCCCUAUACAGAUCAUGAUAAUCUAUAGUAGAAUCAUACUCUCAAUGUGCUAUGCCAUAGAAGUGUGGGAAACUACUUCCUUAUCUACCCUAGACUAGCUUAUGCUAUCGGAUAGGUCUUAUUAGGACGACUUUCCCAUUCUUUCCUGCCUUAAGGUGAAAUAAGGUCUCUCUUGGGUAUUCAAGGUCUAAUGUGCUCCCCGACUAGGCUCUGCUUUUGAGGGUGGGCUUGUAGUCUCUCUUACUCCUAUAGGUCAGAAAGAGAUAUAUUCAAUUUUUCGUAUAUGACUGACGAUUUACCAUCAACCUGCUUAUAUAUUAAUAUUAAGUGAGCAAAUUCUUCUCAUAUUACAUUGAUCCUCCCCCUAAGUAAAUUCUUCUUCUGUAAUAUAUUCUCCUCUGAUAUAGAAUAUCUAUCUUUCCUUUCAUAAAUAGGAAGGAAAGGAUUUCUCCUCAAAUCAAGUCAGUCUUCCGAAAGAAGGGAUCAAGAAGUGGUGGUUCAGUCACUUCGGUAGGGGAUUCGCGAUCCCAUCUCUAUGGUCUUGCUCUUGAUGGUACCUCAUCAUGGGGGUGCUGCCCAAGCGGAGCUAACUACAGGUCCGAAUAUACUGCGAUCACCCAGACCUUUCUAAUACUGAAAUCCUGUAUACGAAAUUUCUUCAGUUGUCGACGCCGCAAUAUGCGCCUUCUAAUGGAUAGUCCUACUUCGGUUAAUUACGGAUAGUCCUACUUCGGUUAAUUACGGAUGGUCCUACUUCCAUAUGGAUAGUCCUACGGAUAAGAAUCCUGCGGACUCCGGACUACUUCCCUCCAUAUGGAUGGUCCUACUUCGGUUAAUUACGGAUGGUCCUACGGAUAAAUCCUCCGGACUACUUCCAUAUGGAUAGUCCUCCGGAUAAAUCCUGCGGACUCCGGACUCCGGACUACGGAUAAAUCCUGCGGACUGCGGACUCCGGACUGCGGACUGCGGACGUAGGACUCCGGACCUAGACACAAAGAAAGAAAGUGAAUAUGGAAAAAAGAAAGAAUGUCAUCGUAAUUCAACUCCGUUAGGAGUUAUUCCACUAAAAAAAAGAGUCAUGAUAGGUAGUCCGUCCGAAGGACUAUUCAAUCCAUUAGUUUUCGCUUGCACUCCUUUCUUCUUUUCCGCAAUAUUCUUUGCUCCUAACGUCUGAAACUGCUUUAUAAAGGAAUUUGGAAAAGCUCGUUUUGGAAUAACUCCUACCUAUUCCUUGCUCCUCCUCCGGGAUCAGGACGGAUAUUAUUGGUAAGACUCCUUCUACGCGGUCUCGCAACUCAUAUUGCAUUGAGCCUCACUACUAAUGGAUAAAGAAGUCCUUCGGACUCCGGACGGGGGGGAUUUCCGCUUGAUUUUACCGUAGCCAUGAAAGCAAAGGUGGGGUUUGACUCUCUCUCAAGCCCUAUUUCUGGAUGGAAGUUGGAACCUCCCCACUUUCUUAGUUCAAAUGCACAAUUUCCCUAUCUCUUCUUAUGGCUCUUUUGGGCCUAGGCGAGAUAGAGUUGUAGAUAGGUUUGAAUUGCUCUAUUGCGAGAAAGAGAAAAGGAGUGAGAGGGGUGUCGCAAGCUCCCUGAUUGAGUAGGCAGAAAGGGGUCAGAGCUAGCUGCUGGGCCAGAUUGACCUUCAGUAGCUGCUAACAAAGGACCGGAUUGACCGCCUCAAUGAAGAAGGCGCAAAGAAUAUUGCGGUGAGUAGGGUAUUCAAUAUGCGAGACCGGAGAAAGAGGUUAUGAAAUAUACUACCCGAAAGCUAUAACUUGAAGAGAGAAAGAGUUGACUCGUCCGAAGGCUCAAAGAAUUUGACCUAUGAUCAAGCGAAGAACUGAUAACCUGCCGAAACUAAGAAGUUGAGCGGCUUUCCAGUCGAGCUAAAUCUCUUCUUUCUUCUCGUUCAAAAGAAACCUACUAAAAAAGAAAUACGAAAGCCUACCUGCCAAAUUCUGAAAAAUAGUCCAUUUCUCACAUUCAUUCACAUUCAGUCAAAAGAAGAGACUUGGUCCGGCAAGAGGGAUCUCCGGCUUAGGCUCGAGGCUCCUCUUCUUCUUCCUGUGGAUUAGUGGAAGGAUGUCUCAUCCGCUUGAGAGGGUAUGCAUUCCUUACGCGCGAAUUGGAUGAUUUCUCUUUAUCGAUUGAUUCUGAUUCUUUCUACCCAGCCGGCGGGAGUCAUCAUUUUUGCGUACUCCGGAAGACCUAGGUUUUUAAUGAUUUACUUGAGUCAAAGACGUGCAGAUGAGGCAUCCGAGACAGAAAGAAGAAGAAGGACUGAAACCGCCACUGGGUCGAGCAUUCGGUCUGAAAGAUCUUCUUUAUCUCGAUCACAGUCAACUUUUGAAUAGUUGAGUAAAUCAUCAAAAUGGGGUUCGAUCCUUUUGACUUCGUCAUAGAGCUCUGCCCUUUUGAUCUUUUAGAAAGAGUAUUCCAAGUAAGACCAAAAUGCAAUGAAUUUAAGCGGAGGCCUUGUUCAAAGAAUAUUGAAAGGGAUAUUGUGCGAGACUGAAAGGAGAGGUGCAAAGAAUAUUGCGAGGUCAUCUGAAACCCUUUUUUUUGAUGCGCCUCAGGCGCAAAGAAUAUUGCGAGAUUCAUACUAUUAAAUAAAUAGGUUGAGGCGCUUCGGUUAAUUACAGAUAGUCCUACUUCUGUUAAUUACGGAUAGUCCUCCGGAUAAAUCCUGCGGACGUAGGACCCUGGACCUUUCUUUCUUUAAUGGAUAGUCCUACGGACUCCGGCGCAAUGAAAUAUGCGAGGUCCAUAUUAACCGAAGAUUUAGCCUUCCUUCGGAACCUGCUCAAGAAAUAAGGGAAGGAAGCAAGGAGUCAAGUUAAGAAUCUCUUCUCUUUCAUAUUCACUCGAACUCCUAAGGCACCUUUCCUAAGCCAACUACCCUUUUUCUACUUUUUCCGACACUGAAUUCUUCUUAGCCUGAACCUAGGCCUUUCCUUUUGGGGAAUCGAGCAAUCUUCUGAUCUCUUCUCUUUGUUUCGGGAUCGGGUACAGGCCAUGAGCAGUCCCAAUCUGCCUUCCUCUCGUAGGACCAUAAGAAAAGCCCACUCCGCGGUAAGGCUUGAGGUCUAACCCACGGAUGAAAUAUUCUUUGAACCUAUCUCCCCGGCUGUAGAUUGAGGUUAUCACCUUAUUGAGUGGAUGGAGAUCGGCGGCUAAUAUGAGUUCAUUCUAUUUAGAAUAGGAUAGAAUAUGCUGAAAGAACCGCUACGUGGGCGACUUUCUCAACAGCAAAAUGCCACUUCCUCUGCCCGUAGGUUGUUGAGCCUUUCUUCUUGCACCUUGAAUAAAGAGCUUUUUUCGGGAGAAAUCCCAGUUGAGGGGAACAUAGGCUCCGAUCAGGCUCAAGAGAAGGAAGGGCACCUCCCCCUGGCUAACUUACCCUCUACAAUCAGGAAAGACUCCACUCCUUCCCUUCGUCUUCUCAGUCAAGCAGUUCCACUCCUAAUAGGUCAAGCUGCUUCCAACUUCUUCUUCAACGGGAAACUUCAAGGCAACUGAGACGGAUUCUACAGGGGUGGGGUUCCUCUUUAGUAGAAAAAAGCCCUUUCCGGGAUCCCGCCUCAAGAGAGAAUUCCAAGUCUUACCUAUUUUCCCCUAAAGACUCACAGGUUUGGACUCGUCCAAACAAUGGCCUGGCCGAGAAAGCAAUGUCCGCGACUGAUAUCUUCUUAUCUUAUCAACCUAUUCGCCGACAAAGCCACUGAAAAUUCUUCAUUCUUGACUGACUAUAGGCUAAGUAGCGAAUGCUGUAAUCAAGGGCCUGCUUUAAUGGUUGCUUCAUUGGUUCAGGGGAAUUGGCUUGAAUCUGAAGCCGGACAUAGCGAUUGGCGAACCACAACUCGUGCUUAAAGCUUUGAAUUUGAGUGGGAAAGAGGGGGUUCAUGCUGUGAUAGCCAAGCGGGGAGAGAUGGAAAGAGGACUAAUGCCUUGGCUUAAUUUAGCUUCUUGGUUUUCCGGUCAUUUUCUGAACAUAAAGAGAUUUUUCUUAUUGUAUAUUGUCUUUUUACCUUUGACCGAUCUCCAUUGCUUACAGGAAAGGGAGGAAGAGAGAGAGGAGCUGGUACCAAAUCAAUAGGUCAUUCAAUAUACGAGAGUUUAGUGUCAGAAAUCGGCUUGAUUAUUUCUCAAAAUACCGCUACUGUUGAAAAAGAAAGAAUGAAAGAGAAAUGCAUUAUAAAGAACGAAGAUCCCAACUAGCACUCAUGAACUCAUGAACUUCUAUAACUCACGAUAAAAGAUGAGAUCUAAGACUGUAAGUUGAAUGAAUAGGAUCGGUAGCUGACUGUAAGUUGAAUGAAUAGGAUCGGUAGCUAGACGGGUCCCCUGACAAGGAGGGAAGAACUCCCAGAUCGGUAUACGACUUCUCAGGAGAUAAAGGGGGAUCGAAGCUAGCCUCAAAGACCCAGAUCUUUCCGCGCCAGGAUCAGUAGAGGCUGGAAGGGAAGUUUCAGUUGCUCUUUCCCAACCAGAUAGAAAGGCAUAAGGCCUCAGCCCAAGCCGAUUGUAGCAGUUCUUUCAUCUCUUUCGGAAUGAAAAAGAAAUGAAUCUCGGAUGUGUAGUAUAAGAAGCUUGCGAGAGUAGGCUCCAUAAGACAGGGAUAUUGUAAGGUUCCCACUCUUUUUGUUUUCUUGAAUCUCGUUAAUGAACUCACUCUAUUCUAAAUAGAAGAAAGCAUCCCCAUAGAUAGGAUGAAAUCAUCAUAAUCCCCUAAGCCCACUGGGAGGAAGGCGAGUGUCCAGGGAACAAUCUUGCAUAAAGAGGCAUCCGUCUCGGCGGUCCAUAGAAGCAUGAGAAGGAAUUCAUAUCACCUUCUUUGUUGGUGCGCAGCCACUCGACUUAGACGUUAGCGAUUGGAUCCCCCACUCCUAGGUUGCUUUUUGCUUGAUUUAAAGACUCCAAAAUCAGAGCUAUCCCUAAUUAAUGUUCAGCUUAGAGCCUCCGUCCUCCUACGCAGCUUCUCAAAUUCUUUGACCCGACUCCCCAUUCGUUUUUCAACUCUUUUUCUGGAAUGAAUUCCAGUCUUCUUUCAGGGGCGGGAUAUGGAUGGAAGAGAGAGGGAAGAAAGAGUCCGGUUUCAGAGGCUUGAUCCACUUUCUAGGAUCAUGAAGAAAUCCCUAAAUGCUUCUUUAUACUCUCGCCCAGGUAGGGAGAACUCUUAGAUAUAAGACGUUUUAGAGAGUUUUGAUUCAAAUCCAUCUCCACCUAUGUUGUGCCCUUCCUCCCAAAGCAUUCCGGCAUCUCUUAUUCCAGGUCUCACCCUCUUCAGCAAAGGAGUGGAGAAAGACAUGGAAUUGGAAUUGAUAGGGAACCGUAGCCAAGUGGCUAAGGCAUAAGUCUGCAAAACUUCUAUUCGUCGGUUCGAAUCCGACCGGUUCCUACAGCUUAGCCCCAUUCCACCCUGACAUGGUGUCUGUCUCGAACGGGGGCCUCCGCUUGCUCCUUCGUACCUUUGGCUUAGGCCGCUUUCCCUUCCUGACAGUAUUUCUUUUCUGAUUAGCACUCUCCUUUUCAUGAGAAUUUGACUGCUAUCCUUGCUUCAGCCUUCGUCUUUCGGCUUUAGGACUCACGGGUAUCUCUCAAAAAAAAGGUAUUCCGUGAUCUUUCCGUCUUUAGUUUAGGUUCAUUAUGGCAGUUCUUAGUUUCGUCUCUUUAUCAGUGAAUUCGCUUUCUUAAUUGCAUAUAUUCAUAAAAGGGUAGUCCUUCCCCCAGGUGCGCCUAAAGUCUGAUGAUGAUCCCUUUCAAAGCCGGUGAAACCAUCAGGCUCGACUAAGAAAUCAAUGCCUCCGACUCCUUCUAGUAACCAUCCCCGAAAUCCAGGGAGGUCUUCUUUCAGACAUGGCGGGCUCCACUCAAAUUCUUUGAGCCUUCUCUGCUACCAAAUCAUAGAUCUUCCAGAGAAGACCAAAGCGAAUGAGCUCACUCGAUUCGCGUCUGAUCCUCCAUUCUUUCUCAUAGACUGAUGCUGAAAAUCAAAAAAAGAUAGGUUCCUUCAUUAUAAUGCAUUUCUUACCAAUGGACGUACCGAAGCCAUCAUCCAGUUCCUGAGCAAAGACCACUCAAGGAAGUCCUCUCUUGGAAAGCAAAUAAUGAGAGCUACUUGACUUCUUUCAGGAAGGAGAUAAUUCAACCGCUCAGAUAAGGAAGAGCGAAAGCUCACUCUACCAAGCCAGAAUGAUAAUGUCUCGUCAUUGCCGGGGGCUUGGUGUACAUAGCAAGAACCCGCUCAAAGUGAGGAGAUCUUGUAUGACUGAGUUUGGCAAGGACCCUAUAACCCCCACCACCAAGGCAUCCUUAAUCUUGCCUUUUCAUGGAUAUGGAUAUUUUUGACAUAAAAUAAGAAGACCAUAUGGAUGAUGGUAAGCAAGCAAAGAAGGAGCGGACAUGGUAUCAAAAUCCAUGCGUCCACCCGCGCUUAGCAAACUCAAAUCUUUCAGUCGAUUAAAGAACUGAACGAAGGUGCACAUUUUCACUCCUAAUUGAGAAAAGAAACUUCAGCAACUUGGGUAUCAGCGAUGACAACAUCAUCACCGAGCACAUUGAUUGGGACACCACAUCAACUAAAGUGGCUUUUGAACGAGACCUAUCGGCCCACGGAGCGGGGCAGUUGCUACGGCCAUCGAUAGUCGGACACCGCGGAGUGGGCCUCUUUCAUCCUCUUUCAUUCUGCUCUUUCAAAGAGAUAUAAGGGGUAUGAGCUACUCGAUCUCGAGAAAAUGGCUUUGGAUCUCUCUCUACAUCUGGAAUAUCUGUCAGAGGAUAUGGAACUCAAUAUCGAUCUGAAACGUCGAAGCUUACACUGACUCAAAGGGAGACUGCUUCUAGCCAACAUCGGCUAUGGAUCACGCCCAUCAUCAUAAGGGCAUCUCGGUAUGGGGUUGGAUGGAUCAUCGGCCCUGGUGAUGGCUCCCCAGUAAAGGGAAGAGGAAGGGAUGCUAUUGGUGCUAUCGGUACAGCUCUCCUUAUCAUCGGCAGAUAUGCUUUUCUAUUUGCGGGGGUCUUUCUUGCUCUUGGUAUCGGCUUCUUUCUGGAUAUGCUUCUGCUUUUACUGAUGCUUAUGGAUGGAUUACUUGCUGGAUCUCACCCGCUCAAAGAAGAUUGAAUUUCGAAAGCCAAAGCUACUUAUGAGCCCUCCCUUGUCAUUGAAGGCGGAGGCUGAAUUCAUUGAGUUGCGGCUAUUCUAAAAGAAACUUAUCCACAAAAAGGAAAGUGAAAGCCAAAGCAGAUCCACAGCAAGGGUUUCAACUGAAAUUUCUCAUUCAAUCGCCGACCGCUCCGUCUUAUCUGAUUUUCGCCGACAAAAGUCGCAUAUUGAAUUGCGCCUCCGGAAUUCUGAUUAUUAAGGAGAUUCAUUCAUGAAAGGCAUAUUUCAUUGCGUGAGAAGCCGCGCUGCGAGAGCUACUAAAGCGAGAGGUGAGAUGGAAUUGAGUAGACUAAGAAGGGGCGAAGCGAACAGGAGUGCAAGUUGGAAGGAGAGGUUCCAUAAGACAGGGAUAUUGUGGGCGAGACCAAGGAGGGAGAGAGAUGAGGUCUACGGAUUAUCCUACAUAAAUUAGUUCUUGGAAAGACUACGAGGCGCAUCAGCGGAAACUCAGACCUAAAUCACUAACUAAAUAAGGGGUCAUAUCACGAACGGGAAGCGAAGGCAUACACUGACCAUAGCCGGAGAGGAAAGGAGCUCAGCAGCUUGACCCGCCUUUCAGUUUCUUGGGUGUGAAAGGAUAGGUUAUCGGCCUAUUACCUAUAGGAGAAAUGCUGGCAUUGAUAGACUUAGAGGUGAAAUUCUCCGUUUCGGAAAGAGCUAACUCAUCUUCUUCUUUUUAAUAGGCAGAAAGGCGAGAUGGAAAAUUGGCUGAACAUGAUAGAAGCAAGGCGCAAAAACAAGGGUGCAGAUGACUAUCCAUUAGAGAAUUUGACUUUGGAGGAGUAUGAAAUCUGGGUUAAUAUGGAUAGUCCUUCGGACGGGAUAUUCUUGAGAGUCAUGAACUCUAUUAAAAAGGACUGCCGAUUGAAAAGACUAUUAUCAAUCUUCAAAUCUCCGCGGCUGAAUUCAUAUUCCUCGACUUCGUAGAAGGAGAUAGAAAUCAAUGAACGAGUACAAUGAACAAGGGCUCUUCUUCUUAAACUACUUUCAGUCGGAGAGAGAAGAAAUAAGACGUAGUAGGAGUUGAUGAUUGUACCGCGUAGUGGGUCACUUUAUUCAGUAGAAAGAGAAUAGUCAUUUUGAAGGUUUUGACAUAGUGAAAAAUCAGUCAAAAAAGAUCUUUUAUCGUUAGCUAUCGAAAUCUUCUUUGAGCCCGUAGUUAGGAGUAUUAAGACCGGAGGACCAUCAAAGAAAGGUCCAGGGUCCGGAGUCCGCAGGAUUCUUAUCCGGAGUCCGGAGGAUUUAUCCGUAGGACCAUCCGUAAUUAACCGAAGUAGUCCUACGUCCGGAGGAUUCUUAUCCGUAGGACUAUCCAUAUGGAAGUAGGACCAUCCGUAAUUAACCGAAGCAGUCCGCAGGGCCAAAGAAAGGUCCAGGUGAUUUAUCCGUAGGACCAUCCAUAUGGGCCAAAGAAAGGUCCAGGUGAUUUAUCCGUAGGACCAUCCGUAAUUAACAGAAGUAGUCCUACGUCCGGAGGAUUCUUAUCCGUAGGACUAUCCAUAUGGAAGUAGGACCAUCCGUAAUUAACCGAAGUAGGACCAUCCAUAUGGAAGGAAGUAGGACUAUCCAUCCAUAUUAACCUUUGGUCCAGGCGCAGGCGCAAAGAAAGAAGCUCAUUAACUCGAAUUCAAGAAUCAUUAUGAUUGAAUCACCCAUAACCUGGAGGGAAAUCCAGAAUAGACCUCUCAGUAUCCGGACCAUAAACUCAAACUAGAAGUCUUCAUUGAUUUUCCCUGUCCUAGGAGUUCUUCUUUCAUUGCGUUUUCCCGGCUUUUUUGCUUCUAAAUGUGACUUUUGUUAAUCUUGAUAUUUAACGAUAAUUGUCUAAUUUUGACGGAUUUUUCAUGAUUUCUUGCUACUUUAUAGGCCCAAAACCUAGCAUUUUCUUGUAUUUCCCUCCGCGAAGGACUAGUCUGAAAUCUAGCAGAUUAAUCUGAAAUCUAGCAGAUUCAUAAUUCUUCUUGAAUUCGAGUUAAUGAGCCCGUAGUUAGGAGUAUUAAGACCGGUCCUACGUCCAUUUAUCCUCCGGACUAUCCGUAAUUAACCGAAGGAGGACUUUCCGUAAUUAACCGAACUUUGCGCCUGCGGGAUAAAAAAGAGAAAAUUCUUUGCUCCUCAUCUGGACCCGUCCUCCGGACUUGUUUAUCCAUUAAAUAGCGGGAGGCUCCAUAAGACAGGGAUAUUGUAGGCGGUCGAUGAGUUCUAUAAAGAUAGGUUCAAAAAUCAAGCCUCAAAUUCGCAAUAUUCUUUGCACCGCUCCGUGGGUUCCAGAAAUUCAAUGGAUCUAAUGGACACUAAUCUGGAGCUUGAUUUCUCUUGGACUUUCUCACGCAAUAUGCUUUGCGCCGCUCCGUGGGCUUACCUUUCAGUCGAGCCCUCCUACGGUCUCAUUGAUAAGGACAUCUUUGCAAAUGAAGAGCGGGAAUUACCUUUUCUCUUCGGGUUAGCUAAGAGUUGCCGGAGGCUUGAAGUCGGAUACUUUACUUCAAGGUUAAAGAAAUCUUCAACAUCUGCAAAUUUAGCGUUAGCGUUCUGAGCUAGCCAAGAAGUUUCUCUAUAAUAUAGAGGAAAAAUUAUGCAAUCUAACGACACUAAGAACCUAGAGUCACCGCGGAGUGGGAAGGUUCAUUCUUUCUGUCCCAAUCGGGAAGAGAGAAAAGAAAGGUAAUUCUUCCCCCUAUUUAUUUAUGGAUGUCAUUGACUCUUAGGCGGAGGACUAUGAAACCUAUUACUUUGAGAAGCGAGGCUGAAAGCCUCUGAUGUACACAAAUUGAAUAAGAAAAGCACCAGGACGGAGAGUUACAUCAUCAUAUUGCUCUCCUUACCUUAAUUAGAAUGCUUCAAGACAUAAUGCGAGAACCCGAAUAAGAGAAGCCUGAGAUUCAAAAUCAAGCUCCACUGUCUCACUUUGAAUAAAGGUUGGACCACUCUCUGUGGCUAUGUUACAAAGCAAGGAGUUCGCCCGUGGUAACUGGGGAAAGUUCUCGCUAAAUGACAUAUUAAGGGAAGCCGAAGCUUCCAGAAACGCCGGUCAUGAGCACGGCGCUCAAGCAGGAGCGUAUGAAGCGGAUCUUCAAAAAGAUAGAUAGUUACGACAAUUUCCUACAUCUAAGGAAAGAUCCGGAGAUCGCGGAGCUCCUCUUAUCCAAAUACAGCACCGUGAGGAUGGGAAGACUCACAGCGCAUGAAGAUGCAGGAGAUAUCAGCUAUGGAGCUACGAGUAGCCUAUCUCUCAGGGAAAGGGCGGCCCCAAGAAUAGACCGCAGAGCUCUUGCAAGAAAAGUACCUAAUGCGUCAUUGGAUAGCCACAAACCUUGUCUUCCAGAGGCCUAUAAAGACAAAGCAGCUCUUUGUCUAUGGUCCGCCAAGUACACAGAAAACCCUACGGAGCAGCGCGGAGGCUAUAUUCAUGCGAUACUCACCCUACUGGGCAGGAGUGCAGGCUAGAUGGAAAGUAUGAGAGAACUUUUCUCAAAAAGGCUAAUGUACCCUAAGAUGGGAAACCGGAUUCCAGGAAGCUUCACCAAUGAGGACACGCCCUGGUCAAAACGCGUAAUGCCCUGAAACUUCUAUUCCAAAUAGAAGGAUCAAUGCGGAAUAUUGCGGGUUUGCGUGAGAGGAUCGUGGCAACCUUGUACGGUUGCAUGUGCGGCCGCCUAUGGGCAGAUCGUGGGAAAUCCACGACUGAAAUACUAUCAACGGAGAACAAGCUGUAGAAAUACCUGUAAACGACCCCUCCUCGGAGCUUCUAAUGGAUAAAGACUCAUCCAGAGCUUGAUUUUAGCUGGCGCUACAAUAUCCCUGUCUUAUUUUUCGUGGAAUAAGACUCAAGAGGAGCGGUCCUCUGGACCUUUUUUAUCCGUCCGAAGUCCUCGCAAUAUUCUUUGCGCCUGUCUGUCCUUCGCAUAUUUCAUUGCGCCUCAGUCCUAUUCAACCCAUGGAAUUGAAAGUCUAAUCUUUCUUUGGGUCCUCCGUUUUAGAGUCCUACGGAUAAAUCCUCCGGACCUGUCUUAUGGCACCUCUCUUAGUCGAGCUGCUUCGCACCUGGAAGUCUCGUCAAUAUUCUUUUCACCUUCGGUUCAAUUAUUUUGGAGGGCUCAAAGAAUUUGAGACGAGUGCAAGCAGUUUCAUUCUCAGUUUCAGUACUCUAAGCAAGGUAAUUCUCAGAGUCAUCUGUCUAUCCCGUUAAGGGGCAGGUGUUCAGCCGGAGACAAGAAAGGGCUCGACUUCCUUUGGGGAUUAUCCCUUGAAUCAGUGGGAGUUGGUCUUGCAGUAGCAGUUCUUGUUCCAGUUUCAUAGGUUGAAUGAUCUCUUUCGUAAGGCAAAAAGGCUGAUUUCUCUAUUUGGAAUAUCUGUCCCAUUAUUUCAAAGUAAAGGAAAGCCUUUAGAUGCGCUCAAGCGCCCAACUGGGCUCGAAAGCUGCGAAAAAAGUCUCGCUGUGAAAUCGGUGUGGUGAGGUAUUGGAAGUGUUCAGCGAAUCGAGAGAAAGACAAGAAAGUGAAAGGCAGAGCUUCCGCAAAACGAGGUAGGUAGCUUUCGCUAAUGAGAGAUGGCUUUGGGGAUUAGGUCUCCAAAUUCAUGGAAUUUCUUUUCUCUUUCUAUAUAUGAGAAGCAAAGAUGCACAGAGCAACCCGACCGAAGGCGCUGAAGGAGGGCAAGUGGUCCACUCUCUCAUCUACAACAGAAGAUCAACCCCUUGUCCAAACUGAAGAUAAAGUUCAUAUGGACCUGAUCUCAAAUCCCCUAAUGGAUAGUCCUUCGGACCUGUCUUAUGGCACCGCGGAGUGGUCCGGAGGCGCAAUUCAAUAUGCGACUUUGAACCGGAGGUUCAAUGCCCACGGAGCGGGAGAGGUCUCGUCUUUUCCGCUGACUCCCACUUUUUCUUUCUGUAUUUGCUUAGUCUUUGCUUUGUUCUUUUCCCCUUUCCACUUGUACUUCCACUUUCUUCCUUUUUGAUAUCGCUUUUCUUCUUUCAGUUGCCUUCCUUCCUUUCUCCCCUCUGAUUUUAUGGAUGCCCCUCCCUUUAGACUUGCAGUAAAGCUGAACAAGUUGACUCAGCUUGCGCUUGGCUUCACUGCCUUGACUAUCAGAGAGAGGAAUUGCUAAAUAGACAGAGAGUAGUACCAUAGGCUUUCUUCUUUUUAGCUAGUGAAAGAGGGCAAUAUUCUUUGCGCCUUCCAUCUGCCUGCUUUCUUUGACUGCAACCAUGCUUGCCAGAGUUCUUGCUUCCCUUUUUCGGCCCCAGCCACAUACCGGUUAGCGAGGAGAUUGGUCUAAGAUGGCUAGUUGCUUGUACUUUAAUCGAGAAAAAGUUGGAGAUAUGAGAGAAAUUCUUUUCUUUCUUUGGGAUAAAUUGCCAAUUCCAUGAAAGCAUUUGCCUUAAUGAAAAAAGGGGAUCCUAUUGACCUAGGAUAAUAAGCUCAUGAGCUUAGUCUUACUUCACCAGAAAGGAAAGAAGACUUCCAUCUCCAAGUUGAACUCAGACCUAGCUCCCUUCUUUAUAUCGCCUCUGCUGGUCAUUCUGCUUUGAAACUAUGGGAAAUGAAUUAGAUAAAUCAGCCUUUCUUUCUAUAAAGAGAUAUAUAGCUCAUUCCCGAUCUCACUACUUCGCAAAUUCUUUGCUCCUUCUCUUUGUUCAAGAAGGGCUACGUGGGCGACUGCUGAAACUGGGUCCCGCACCCCUAUUUAUUUAUGGAUGUCAUUGAGCGGAGGACCUCGAUCAUUCUUUGAGGACGGAAGCUUGAUAAAGUCAGAAGGCGCAAAGAAUAUUGCCCUUUUUGAAAGGCACCAAAAACAAAGGCGCAAAGAAUAUUGCGUUAGAAAUCAGUGGAAUUAAUCAGUCCUCCGCCUAAGAGCGCAAACCAAAGGCAAAGGACGCGUCGGACUCCCGGACCUCUUUAUAUCCACAGGAAAAGCUUGAUAAAGUCAGAAGGCGCAAAGACGCAAUAUUCUUUGUUUUUGGCUAGGCUUUCUUUCUUCUUGUCUUUUAUUGCUCCUAACCCCGAAAGAGGUGGGGUUCCUUCUAACCUCUCCUCUUCCCCACGUAGCGGUCGAGACUAUUCUACUCUUUCCGGAUAGAUUCUGUUCUUUGUCUUUCUCAAAUUCUUUGAGCAUCGACCGCCUACAAGAUCCAGUCAAUUAAUGUAGUGGGCUGACUUUGCGCCUCAGUCGCAGCUCCUUUCAGUUCUCCGCAAUAUUCCCCAUAUUAAGCUACGGAGGCCAGACAGGUCCGAAGGACUAUCCAUAUUAACCCGUCUGUCAUCUGGUCCCUUUGAUUUUCUUCUUUGCUCCUAACUACUAAUGGAAAGGACCCACGGAGCGGUGCAAAGAAUAUUGCGAAGGACAGACAGGUCCGAAGGACUAUCCAUAUUAACAUUAACCCGUCUGUCCUUCGGUCUUAAUACUCCUAACUACGGGGGAUAUUCUUGUAAUUAAUUGACUGGAUCUUGUUUGCGUGAGGUGCAAAGAAUAUUGCGAUGUAGGCUCGACAGGGAUAUUCUUGGAUUUCAGACUCGCGUAGGCGCAGUUGCGCAAAGAAUAUUGCGAAAACGUAGGUGCAAAGAUCUAUGGCCCAAUUAUAAGGGGUCCAGAUGACUAUCCAUUAGGGAAUGUGAGAAGCUCCUUAACAGGAGUGCGGAGUCUGAAAUCCCGGGUUAAUAUGGAUAGUCCUUCGGACGUCCGAAGGACUCUAAAAAGGAGCCUAACGGAGGCUCAAAGAAUAUUGAGGUUAGGAGCAUUGAAUUUAUAGAGAAUAGUCCGGAGGACCUCCUUCAGCAUAAUCUAUGAAUGAUCGGUUUCAUAUUGCGGAAAAGAAGAAAGGCUCUUUUCAUAUUGAGAAAUCCCGUCCUUCGGACAGACGGGUUAAUAUGGAUAGUCCUUCGGACCUGUCUGUCCUUCGGACUGGAGCCAGAAAAAAAAGGGCAAUAUUCUUUGCGCCUUCUGACUGCUAACCUCUGCGGUCAGUCCUUCGGACCAGGUGCGCGAAGCGAAGCGACUGGAAGGAUAGAAGCAGCUCGACUAAGAAGGAGAGGCGCCAUAAGACAGGUCCGGAGUCCGCAGUCCGCAGGAUUUAUCCGUAGUCCUACGUCCGGAGUCCGCAGGGCCAAAGAAAGGUCCAGGGUCCGGAGUCCGCAGGAUUCUUAUCCGGAGUCCGGAGGAUUUAUCCGUAGGACCAUCCGUAAUUAACCGAAGUAGGACUAUCCAUAUGGAAGUAGGACCAUCCGUAAUUAACAGAAGUAGGACUCUAAAACGGAGGACCCAAAGAAAGAUUAGAUUUUAGGCGAAGGACUGAUUAAUUCCACUAAUAUUUCGGAGGACUUGUUAAUGGAACUGAUUGUAGUAGGCGUCGGACAACUCAUUCAUUCUAUUUAGACCUCAAUGAAGAAUAUUGAUGAUCUCUCGCUAUCGGAUAUCAAGAGUAUUCCAAAGAUUACUAUCCUGUUCAAGUCUCGUUUUUGACUAAUGGGAUGCCUUUUUUCAUUUUCAUCAGCCAAGGUCAAGACCUGCUAGUCCUACCACGUUAAGGGAGAGCACCCAACUUGCUUGUUGACACGUGAGGGAAAAUAGGAGUCAGAGGUGGGAGGAUUUACCACGUUAGCCCUAUGGUAGUGAUGGUUGGUCUUUUAGAUAUUAUGUCCUUUGAGUGCCUUUUGCGCGCUUAGCCUCGGAAAGAAAGAGGUGCUUCUACAGCGCUUUGGUGCUAAAACCUAAAACUAGGCUCAAUUCGGAAACUGAAACGAAGAAAUUCCCACGCAAUAUUCUUUGCCUGAAAUUUGAAGGAGUCUUAAGACCUCGCAUAUUUCAUUGCGCCUUCGCAUAUUUCAUUGCGCCUCAGUCCUAUCCAUUAGGAAUUAAACUGCGCUAGUAGGAUAGAUACGGCAAGAUCUUUCACUUUCUUCCUUGACCUUCCGGCACUGGGCGGGCUUGUAGACUAUUUCAUUCCAAAUCGUCGCCCCUUUCCUUAUCUACCGUGUGCCUAUUUGCUUUCUUUCAUAGGCAAAUUUCUUUGUCGGUGGCAACAUCGGCAUGCGUUAUAUAAGACUUUAAGCGCACCUUCACUACAAGACUGCCAGAACCGUCACGGGCUUCUUCUGGAACGAGGCGCAAAGAAUAUAUAGAAUAAAGGAGAGGAGUGGAACUGCUCGACUGUAAGGAGAGGAGUGGAACUGCUCGACUGUAAGGAGAGGAGUCCUUUUUCCGUAGGUUGAUGCUUUGUAUCGCACGCUUCUUCUAUUUUUCUAUAUAGUGUGAACACCUUGCCCCCUAUUCAUUAGUUCCAAGAAAGGGGCCGUUCACGUCGCCGGUUUUUGAUCUAGUUGCAAUAAAAUAAGUUCGCUUUUUUUCGUCGAGAUUGGGUUGGUGUGAAGCCUCAGUACAAGAUCGAAAAGAAUGCAUAGCAUUCCAAGUGAGAUGCCCAAGAUAAAAGGAACGAGGGGAAGAAUCAAUGACGGAGGACGCUCAUUCUAAUGGACCUCGCAUAUUUCAUUGCGCCUUCGCAAUAUUCUUUGCACCGCUCCGUGGGUCCUAUCCAUUAGACUGCACCUCGCAAUAUUCUUUGCGCCUGGAAGUCUAGUCAAUAUUCUUUUCACCUCCGGACUAUCCAUAUUAACCCACUAAAAAAGCGAAGGACUGCUAACCUCUGCGGUCAGUCCUUCGGACCAGGUGAGUCAGAAACAUUAACUUUAGGCAGAUCCCCCCUUAUUCUUAAAUAGUGGGACUUCUCGCAAUAUUCUUUGCGCCUCUCAACAAUAUCCCUGUCUUAUGGCACCUUCUGCUUCAUGAUUUUGGAUAGCCAAUUAUAUAGAAUCUUUGACCCUUUGUUCAUUGCCUUGAUAGGCUUGGAGUUGAUUCCACUUUUGUCUCUUCUUUAGGCUUUCUCAAUAUUCUUUUCACCUUGCCUCGUCCGGAGGACUAUCCAUAUUAACCUGUCUAGCCUUCGGACUGGUCCGGAGGCGCAAAGAAUAUUGCCCAUUAGAACUUUUUUCAAUCAAAAAGCGUGAGGAUCAUUCUCAACUCUCGAUGUUAGAAGGUGCAAAAUCAAUGGGUGCCGGAGCUGCUACAAUUGCUUCAGCGGGAGCUGCUGUCGGUAUUGGAAACGUCUUCAGUUCUUUGAUCCAUUCCGUGGCGCGAAAUCCAUCAUUGGCUAAACAAUCAUUUGGUUAUGCCAUUUUGGGCUUUGCUCUAACCGAAGCUAUUGCAUUGUUUGCUCUAAUGAUGGCCUUUUUGAUCUCAUUCGUAUUCCGAUCUCAAAGGUUUCAGUCUCAUAAAGCAAGACCUCCGAAAUAUUAGUGGAAUCUUUGAAUAGUCCUUCGCCUCAUUCUAAUGGACCAACAACAGUUCUUCCCGCUGAUUUUCAUUGCGCCUGGACCUUUGUUUUUGGAAUAAUUGACCCCCUCCGUUAGGCGCAAAGAAUAUUGCGAGAGUCCUGAUCCUUUAUAAAGCAGUUUCAGACGUUAGGAGCAAAGAAUAUUGCGAGACCGGUCCGUCCUCCGGACUCAAGGAUUCCGCUAAAGUUUAGGGAAUUUAGGAGCUAUUCCAAAACGAGCUGUUAAAUUCCCCCACGGAGCGGUAUCUAAUGUUUCAGACGUUAGGCGCAAAGAAUAUUGCGAGACCGCGUAGAAGGAGUCUUAUUCCAAUAAUAUCCGUAAUGAUCCUUUCUUUAUAAAGCCGUUUUUUUCGGAGUAUUAGGAACCGGCUUAAAUAGGCGACUCAUGAUUCCACUAAAUAGUUAGGCUCCAUAAGACAGGUCCGAAGGCGUCACAGGUUAAUAUGGAUAGGACUGAGGUCUUAAGACUCCUAACUACUAAUGGAAAGGACUGAGGACGUCCGAAGGACUCUAAAGAGGACGGGGGUGAGGCGCAAAGAAUUUGCGAUGCGUUCCAAAAAAAAGCUGUGAAAUCCCCACGGUGCGGUGCAAAUCUUCUUAUAGAUUAUGCUGAAGGAGGAUCAAUGAAAUUUGAUGAGUCAUGAUCCCGAAAAAGACUGCCACUCCGCGGUUCAAUUCAAUAUUCAAGGCGGAGGUUCAAAGUCGCAUAUUGAAUUGCGCCUCCUUCUAAUGGAUAGUCCUACGGAUAAAUCCUCCGGACUACUUCGGUUAAUUACGGAUGGUCCUACUUCUGUUAAUUACGGAUGGUCCUACGGAUAAAUCCUCCGGACUACUUCCCUCCAUAUGGAUGGUCCUACGGAUAAAUCACCUGGACCUUUCUUUGGCCCUGCGGACUCCGGACUGUUAAGGCUCAAAGAAGAUUUCGAAAUCCAUAUAUAUAAAAAAGGCUAGGCGAAAGGCGCGAAGCGAAGCGCAUGAAAUUCAGAGGUGCAAAGAAGAAAGAAAGAAGAGAAUGGCGAUCAGAAGAUUGAGAAAUCCAUAUUUGUGGAUAAGAGAGGUCCUUCGGACUGGUAGAUUUCAGACGAUAGAGGUGCAAAGAAGAAAGAAGAGAGUUGCGUGAGAAAGUCAAAUAAUAGCUAUUAAUACUCCUACAAUAUCCCUGUCUUAUGGAGCCUUAGUCGUAUUCCAAAAAAUAGCCGUUUUCAAAGUCAAUGACAUCGGUUUUUAGUCAGCUAAAGAUAUUCUUUCUUCCCGCUCCGUGGGCUUAACGGUUCAAUGAACAAGGGGUGUAGUUCCUCCGCAAUAUUCUUUGCGCCUUCGCCUCGCAAUAUUCUUUGCUCCUAACUACGGGGGUACGAUCUAACUAAAAGGAUUCCACAUUCAAGAGGACCGGACACCUGAGUCGAGUAAUGGGAAGCGGGCUAGUCCCCGAAAAUGCUCGUUCCUGUUGGGGCUUACAAUGAACCUUGUGACUCUAACUCUUCUUCAAAAAAAGCCUCUCUAUAUUAGCGGAUCAGUCUUUACUUAUCUCAAGCAAUGUCCAUCCCAUGCCUUUCUUGGUUGGACCAACCCAACCGGCGAUUUCCGACAAGUCUUUCUUCAUUUUUCUUGAAAGAAGCGGAACUACAGGGAUGAAAUGAAAAGUGUUUCUGACUCUUACGCCCAACAGCCCACUUGAGCAAUUUGCCAUUCUCCCAUUGAUUCCUAUGCAUAUAGGAAACUAUUAUUUCUCAUUCACAAAUCCAUCUUUGUUUAUGCUGCUAACUCUCAGUUUGGUCCUACUUCUGCUUCAUUUUGUUACUAAAAACGGAGGAGGAAACUCAGUACCAAAUGCUUGGCAAUCCUUGGUAGAGCUUAUUUAUGAUUUCGUCCCGAACCUGGUAAACGAACAAAUAGGUGGUCUUUCCGGAAAUGUGAAACAAAAGUUUUUCCCUCGCAUCUUGGUCACUUUGACUUUUUCGUUAUUUCGUAAUCCCCAGGGUAUGAUACCUUAUAGCUUCACAGUUACAAGUCAUUUUCUCAUUACUUUGGGUCUCUCAUUUUCUCUUUUUAUUGGUAUUACUAUAGUGGGAUUUCAAAGAAAUGGGCUUCAUUUUUUCAGUUUUUUAUUACCCGCAGGAGUCCCACUGCCAUUAGCACCUUUUUUAGUACUCCUUGAGCUAAUCCCUCAUUGUUUUCGCGCAUUAAGCUCAGGAAUACGUUUAUUUGCUAAUAUGAUGGCCGGUCAUAGUUCAGUAAAGAUUUUAAGUGGGUCCGCUUGGACUAUGCUAUGUAUGAAUAAUAUUCUCUAUUUCAUAGGAGAUCCUGGUCCUUUAUUUAUAGUUCUUGCAUUAACCGGUUUGGAAUUAGGUGUAGCUAUAUCACAAGCUCAUGUUUCUACGAUCUCAAUCUGUAUUUACUUGAAUGAUGCUACAAAUCUCCAUCAAAAUGGUUAUUUAUUUAUAAUUGAACAAAAGCGAAAAUCAAGCUCCAGAUCCUAGGCUAAAAUCAAGGCGGUCGAUCGAGUGGAAGAGUGGAAAUAAGGCAUGUCCGGAUAAGUCAAUGUUCUCAAAUUCAGGCUCAAGAUGAGAUUCUUUCUUUUCUGGCCUUAGGCGCAAAGAAUAUUGCGAUGCGAUUGCCUUCUAUAUAUUCUUUGCACCUUCGGACCGGCAAAAAGAAAGGUCAAGAUGACAUUCUUGAUUUAGGAGCGAAGCAUGAAAAGAAGAGAUAAAUAAAGUGUUAAGGAGCGCAAUCAAUGAACAAAGGAGGUCGGAUCGUCCUUUAAGUUUCAUGGCUUUCCUGAGAAGGAGCUUCAAGCUCUCACUCAGAUACAUCGGGUCAGACAUAAGAAGGGGAGGGCCAGUAUGAUCUCUUUCCGUUGAGGAUCAAAGUCGCAUAUUUCAUUGCGCCUCCUUCGGUUAAUUACGGAUGGUCCUACUUCCAUAUGGAUAGUCCUACGGAUAAGAAUCCUCCGGACUCCGGACUACUUCGGUUAAUUACGGAUGGUCCUACGGAUAAAUCACCUGGACCUUUCUUUGGCCCAUAUGGAUGGUCCUACGGAUAAAUCACCUGGACCUUUCUUUGGCCCUGCGGACUGCGGACUCCGGACUACGGAUAAAUCCUGCUUCUAAUGGAUAGUCCUACUUCCAUAUGGAUAGUCCUACGGAUAAGAAUCCUCCGGACGUAGGACCCUGGACCUUUCUUUGGCACGUAGGACGGGAGAGUUGUCUUUCUUCUUUCUCUCUGAACCCCACUACGCGGUUUCCUCUUCUUCUUUUUAGUAGGCUUCAUUAAAUUAAGCUACGUAGGACUCUUUAUCAAUGAUUUAUCGUCUUCUCUCUCUUUUCUCAGAGUAGGUUCUAGGGUUGGGUUCUGGACUUCACUAAAUAUUCCACUUUUCUUAUCAAGAACUCCUUCUUUCUACUGGGAAAUUGUGCAUUUGAACUAAUCAAUGGCGGAUGGGGGUUCAUUCGAGGGUCGGCUGAUCUUGAAUGAUAAGAAAAGGAGUAGAAGAGCUUUACCAGAGCCUUAGCGAGAGGUUGCUAAAGCGCUGGGUGAGGGACAAUUGGUGAGCCGUAUGAUGGGCAGAGUCAUAGGUUUCGAGGGCUAAGAGAGAGAGAAUGAGAGAAGAAAGAUACCGGAAGCCGCCACUUGAUAGGCUCCUUCUUCUUUCUUUUCUUUCUUCUUCGGUCUGAAUAUCCCUUAUGCUUGCAUUGGCCAAAGAAAUCUGCAUUCUUUGACUUUUAGAUCUCAAUCCUAGUUUAUCCCAUUCUUUCUCCUUUAAAGCGCCAAUUUGCGACCCACGGAGCGCUUUUCAAUAUUCUUUCUCAGGCAAUAUCAAUAUUCAGGUUUCUCGCAAUAUUCUCAAAUCAAAUUUCGAGCAAUAUGGGCCUUCUACGCGGUCGAAGACUUCUUCCUCCCAGUUCUAGCGGUCCCUCUCCCUACGGUCGAGCUAUUUCAUCCCUCUCCCUACGGUCGAGCUAUUUCAUCCCUCUCCCUACGGUCGAGCUAUUUCAUCCCUCUCCCUCUUCCUACCCCCUGUUUGGCCGGCCUUUCUUACUUCAACUUCUGGAGCUUUCUCUCUUUUAUAAGGCGAAAGACUGACCUCGAUCGAUAUUCCACAUCUCCUCUCGCGGGGAUUCUGGGUCCAGCAUCUCAUGGUCUACAUGAUGAUCUUGGAAAGAUUUGGACACCAAGGCAGAACCAUUGAAUACGGAGAAGGGUAGAUCACCCCGCCGAUUCUCUUCUGACUUUCUUAUCUUUUUGUGAUGCUGCCCGCUUUAUUCUCAUCCUGAGUGAUAGCACAUAUAAUUCCCCUAUUUCAGUCUGACUCCAUAAUCCGACCCCUUGUUCAUUGAGGCGGUCAAUCCGGCCGGCCUUCAAGGCGCCGUCCUACGCAGGUGCUGCGAGAACCUUUACCAAGUCUGACUCGGUCGGGUUAAGAAUACCUGACCCUUUCCUAUUCAAGAGCGGACUCUUACUCAAGAUCGGAAUUCUUGGUCUUACCCUUGCUCAGAACCCUAUUUAUAGUCUUUCAAGAAGUAGGUGCUACACCCCCAUUCCAGUGAACCCCAUCAGUCCGGGAUCGCUAUCGGUCUCUAACCUAUUUUUCUCAGUAUCCACUCUUCACCCUUAAUCAGAGAUAUGGUAAAGCCUGCUAGUCUUCCUCAUUCCUCUUCGGAAACUCUUAUUCCGGGGUGGACGAAUACCUUUGGCCUCGCUACCCUAUUCGGAAAGAGAGAAUGAGAAGGAGGCGUAAACUCUCUCAUUCUAAUAGUACUCUUCCCCUGCUUCUUUAUCUCCUGAUCCCCUUUCUUUGGCCCUAUUCAGGUCGAAAGCUUUCGCUUUCAGUGUCUGACGAAGGAUCUCAUACUUUCCCCUAGCAAUAUGCUAAGCUCUGACUCCCCUUUAAUGAGGCGUAGAUCCCGCUCCGUGGGCAACUUUCUCAGCAGCCAGGGCUACGGCUCGGUCUCAUUCAAAGAUCUUGGUACUGAACCCACUGCCUCGAUGCGGGACCCCUUCUCUGGCAUGAAUCCACGGCAGGUUGAAGGAAGUCGGGAUGGCGCCAGGCCUCUGAAGAAUUCUUUACCUACACAAAAGAGAGAAUUCGGCCAGUUCAGGCGUCUACCUCAUCGCGAGAAGACUUCCUUGACGGAUUCCUAUUUGCUUCUUCCGAUCCGUGGAGACGGAUAACCUGGGGAGCCUACUCAGCCUAUGAAAGACUGAUCCCUAUCCGAGGACAUAGUAGUCGAGCGUGAACCCUCUUAACCCACUACGCGGGAAAUCUGGCCCGGCUGGUCGACUUUCUUCGAACCUAGGUCUGGGAGUCUCGCCUUUUCUUUAUUUCGCAACCUUAUAUUACCUUUCCUUCAAGUACUCAUUUGAUUAGGAGUCGGAUGGGCUGAUUAUUGCGGACUCCCGCUCCGUGGGAAUUCGUAUUUCAAUUAGGUUCUGGAAUUUGAAGGUCAACUCCUUCGCUAUCACUUUUCUGGUCUAGCCUUAUCAUAAAGAGGGUCGUCUCGCAGCCUAAUCCGAAACCUCAUUCCUGGAGGCCUUUCGCUUACCGCUCCGUGGGAGGGUAAGGCACUACUACUAUUUGAGAAUUAGCCUUUUGAAGAGCUGAAACUCUAAACCUAUGGAAUCAGACUCCUUGGCUGGGUGAAGCAGCGGACUGAGGAUCUAAUUGCAGGAUAGCCGCCAGUGGGUGGGGUUGGUUGGCUUCUAGAAAUUAGCCGAAUAGGAGGGCUCUCAUUUAUGAUUAUGAUCCUUAUCUUUCAACUGAAGAAAGAAUAUCCUCCAAGGCCCAUUCUUAGUCUCGCUCAAUCUCCCACUCGGACUCUACAAAGCCUAAGAGUUCGGCGCGGACGAUUGUCUUGGAUGAAAGAAUAGCUCUCACUCUCAUUCAAGAUCGAAAAGAAGAGAAUUACGGUAUUUCUGAAAGUCACUCCUCAAAUUCUUUGAGCCUCGUAUUCGCUCAGCAAAGAGCUACUGCAUUCCCUCUCGUUCAUUCUCUCGCUACUGAAUUCCUCAACGGGUAUCGAUUUCAUUCCGAAACCUUUCUUCUUCUUCUCGUGAAAGAUCCUAAUUCUUAGUUCAUGCUGGAGCUAACCUCUCCUGAGAAUGAGAACUCUGAUGAAUGAAAUACCAUGACGAAUCUACUCUACUCGGGACAUAGGCUUCUGACCCGCUCCGUGGGCUCCCCUCCCUCUUUUGGUCUCGACAAGGUUCCCCGCCAGACUAUGACUCUUGAUCUUUCUUCCGAAAGAGAGGAAAUAAUCUUUUCAUCGAAAUCACUCCCCAACUCGGCCAACUAAGCAGCAAGAACUCGGUUUCUGGGUAGAAAGAAGUCAAAGAAGAGUGAAAAGAGCUAUGAUGGUCGCGCUUUCUCUUGUUGUUAUGAAGAGAGUUCUUUCUUUCUCAAUCGGUAAUAAUACCCAAAGGGCUACUGCGGUACCAACCGGAAGAAAAUCAGUCAAAUCCCUUUUCUUCUUUCUUUUCUUUGUGUCCGGCGGAUGUCUUAUAAAUCGUCUCUCUUUCAUGAUCCGUUGCGGAAGGGUACGCAACUCGAUCGGUCCUCCGGACUAUUCGCUAUUCGGUAUUGAAAAGAAAGGCGUAUUUCAAUCAAAUUCACCCGAAGCAGAAUAAGCAGCGGAAUAAAUCGGGGCGCGAGACUAACCUAAAGGGGAAGAAGCAGUACCUUUGUUCUUGUUCCAGUCGAGUUUCAAUUCAAGAGUUGAGGAAAAGCCGAUGUAGUUUUGUCGCUGAGGCUCAACCGUAUCUCUUCCUUCUUAAGCCUCUUCUAGAUUUGAUACUAGAAGUCGCUUUUCUUGUUCUUGAAUAGGCAGAUCGAGAACGAAGAAUAAGAACAAGACUCAAAUCAAAGGAAGAAAGGAAUCAAAGAGGUUCCUUCCAGAAGUGCUAGCCCUUGUUCAUUGGGAAUAAAGAAUAGACCUCUCUUUCUCCGGACCACAAACUCAAACAAAAACGAUAAUCAAACUAUGUUCAUUUCUGUCCUAGGACAAUGCCUUGCAAUUUCCCGGCUUUUUUGAAGCAAAAUAGGACUAAAUAUCAUCUUUCUAUUUAACGAAAAUAGAGAAAAAAAGAAGGCAUUUGACUUGAUUUCUUGCUACUUCCCUAUGGGCAAAACCUAGCAUUUUCCGGGAUUUCCCUCCGUCUUCAAUCUCCAAAUCAAUGAAGGAGUACAAUGAAAUCAUAAUGAUUCUUGAAUUCGAGUUAAUGUUAAUGAGCUUCUUUUCGUCAAUAUUCUAUAUUCUUUUCACCUUUCUUUCUCCGUCCUCAGUCCUAUCCAUAUUAACCCGUCUGUCCUUCGGACGGGGGAUUUGAAUACUAUUACUUCUUAUUUGACGUUAGGAGCUUUGAAUUUGCGAAGCGCUCGGAGAAUCAGAAUAGAAUGAGAGAGAGGAUUGGGACCGAAGGACAGCCGUACCCACCUACCCCGAACCCUGUAACCACAGCUAUGCCUAACCACUAGGCCUAAGCAAAACCUUGUUCCCUGUGCACUAAAGAACCCAAGAACUCUAGUUCAAUCUCAUUCUCUCCUAACCCAGUACCCGUUCCACGCUAUAAGCGCCUUGGCGUGAGACGAUCUGACGAUCUUUCUGACCUAUUGAUCUACUAAGACAAUUCUACAGCUUCAAGAAGAGAAAAGCCAAUCCCCUAAUUUCAGGGCCAUGAAGGGAGAGCUUCUAAUUCCGCUUCGGACCAAUUCUUGAUUCUCGUACUUCUGAAAGCGAUCUAGCGGACUAUGCGGGGACUCAAGGGGAAUGCCCAACUAUUUACGUAAAUCAAUGAAGAAAUCAGCCACGCAAUAGGCCUUACCAGAGAGAGAUCUAGAUCUUAUCCUGCUGACUCCUCAAGACGCGCACCCCUAUUUAUUUAUUUAUGGAUGUUCAUUGUAUUAAGCUACGAAGGCCCGAAGCGAAGCGACUGGAAGGAUAGAAGGUACUCGGCUUUCUACCCACUCCGCGGUGCCAUAAGACAGGUCCGAAGGACAGACGGGUUAAUAUGGAUAGUCCUUCGGACUGACUCCGCCAUAAAAGAUAGGGGGGAUGAAUGAGUGCCAGGAUCUUGUGAGGCUUCGGAGAGAAUACGUCUUUCUAUGAUUCCUCUUCUUUCUGCCCUAUGAAGACCGAAACGAAUAAUCAAAAAAAGAAGCUCGUAGGGAUAGGGGAAUCCAAUUCAAUACCGUCCAUCCUUACUAAGGAUGCGCUUUCUUCGGCUGCUUCAGUGAAUGCACCAACCCCUACGAUUGAUUCUGUCUUUUCCCUUGCCCCGAACUGGUCUCGAUCGAUCCCAUCCCGAUAGCCUGUCAGAAAAUAAAUAGAGAAAGAAGAAAGUAAUUCAGUCUGAUCCCUUUUUCUGAUUCCCGAUCUGAAACAAAGACGAAUGAGAACAGUCAAUUCACUCAAAGAAAUCCCCAUGUUCUGAACACCGAUGUGUACUUUAAGAUGUCGCCCUAGGCUCACUGGUACGAGAGAAAAUGCUUUAGGAAGGGGGCCCCAUAAAUAAGGUGGAACUCCGGCCGGCGCACCCAGCUUAUUAAUUCCUUCCCGUCCCAUAACAAGAUUGAGUUCCAAUCUAAUCGAUAAUUCUUUGAGCCCUCCGUUAGGCGCAAAGAAUAUUGCGAGACCGGUCCUACGUCCGGAGUCCGCAGUGCCAAAGAAAGGUCCAGGGUCCGGAGUCCGCAGGAUUCUUAUCCGGAGUCCGGAGGAUUCUUAUCCGUAGGACUAUCCAUAUGGAAGUAGGACCAUCCGUAAUUAACCGAAGGAGGACCAUCCAUAUGGAAGGAAGGACUUCUUUCUCCAUUAGUUUUUCCAUAUUAACUUCUUCCUUUCUUAAGGCGAGCUAAAAGAUUCCUCUUCCAGCUUCCUCUUACUAAAUGUAGGUCGAGUUAUUGAAUUCCUACAUAUGAAUAAUUGGUCGUAUGAGCACCGAGUCAACUCAUUCAAUGAUCUAGGCCGACCCUUUACAGUCUCGGUCAAUUACAAUUACAUCGCCCCAAUUGUCUAUCGGUAAAUCGGACAAGAAAGAAGGUCAAUCCGGUCCUUUGUUAGCAGCUACUGAAGGUCAAUCUGGCCUAGCCCCUUAGUAUUGGUAGAGCAGGCUCUUUGUCGAGUUUCUUCCCGGACCCUCAAAAUAGAGUAUAGAGUGAGAGCUUAGCUUCUUUCCGAUCCAUUCCAAUGCUACCCCUUCAAGCCGCGCCUAUUUCCUAUUAAUUAAGUUCCGCCUUAAAGGCCCAAUUCCAAGUUGUGAAAGAUGGCCUUGACUUUCUUCUUAGUGUAUUAGAAUACAUAUUCCCAAAGAAGAGAGGAUAGAGAGUCCGCUUCCGCUCGAGUGUGAGAACUAGGGCCCACCGCUCCGUGGGUAAUGAGAUCUUUGGUCCCAUUGAGUCUUUGAAGGAUCAGUGGAAGCUCCUUCUUUAAUGAAAUAGGUGAAGCAUGAAGAGCUAAGCCACUGACGAACCCUUUCUGCGCGUAUGAGGUUUCUGGAGAUAUCUGCUCGGCGCACUUCCCGGUAGAAAAAGAGUCUAAGAAAGGAGCAAAGAAUUUGCGUGGAUGUAUAAGGAUCCCAUUUACCCCUUUCCUUUCUCUGGUUGAUAAGCUUGAUAAGAGAACCCUUGAAAUCAGAGGGAUUUAACCUAACCGUCUUCUUGACUAAGAAAUGAGUAUUGACCUCAUCAAAUGCAGAAAAAUGCCUUGAUUUUAGUAGCGAUAUGGUGUGCCCUCUACUUCUGCCCAGUCUCUAAUGCCUGCAGCAUUAAGGGAUGACUUAAGAUCUGGUCUCACAGCUGAACUUCCGAUCCUUAAUAGUCUCGACCCUUGUUCAUUGAUUCGAUCUUCUAAACUUUUAACCUGCUUAAGCAGCGGGGAGUUUCUUCCUCUUUUCUUUGACCGGAGUGAAAAUAGAGUAUUUAUUACGCACUAUUUCUAUGUUCUCGCUUACGUGUUCUGGAAAGUUCCCAAGAACGAAUGCAAAUUAAUAGGGCACAUUAAUAUACAUUAAAUAAUCAGCUGAAAGAACGGACGCAACAAGGACUACAGCAAGAACCGUGGCCCAUUAGGGUGGAGUUCAUUCUGGAAACCUUGGCUUUCUUCUUCCACACAAGGGUCAAAGAAUUUGAGUCCUGCCUUGAUUCGCGGGGUUUUGAAAGAAAAUGAGUUCAAGCUAGCAGGGGUCGGACCUUUCGCUGAGAGAACAACUGUGAUUCUGCAAAUCAAAUACCCGCUCUAUCGGCUUGCUGGGAUUAUGGAGGGGGAAUCCUUUCUUUAGUUAUCAUUAAUUUCUGAGAUAAAAGAGAGAGAAGGUUCCAACAAAGGAUGUGCCUUAUGUUCGCGUGCCCAAGCUCGUACUUCUUCAACAGGGAGACCCCUUUUUACAGGGAAUUAGAUUGAAGAGAUGAUAAUAAUUGAAUUAGAGCAUAUUUAGAGAAAAUAGUACUUUGAGAGUCCGAAGGACUGAUUUAUUCCACUUAAGUUAGGAUGAGAAGUUAGCGCUUAAAGUAGAUGAUCAAAGAGAACUAAAUGGGCGAUCAACGGCUAAAAAGAGAGAGUGAGAGCUUAGCUUCUUUAUCUACUCCAACUGCUUCCUCCACGGGGAGAGGUGGGGAUUGGAGAAGGGUCUUGAGCUGCUCGUAUGCGUCCUGAGAGAAAGUGCCAUUUCACGAGGUCGAAAGAGGAUAGACAAAGAUUUCCCAGGACAUAGAGAAAGAGGCUAUUAGCCGACGUCUCCUACGCCUUGCUUACCGAUCUCACGAACUACUUCUCCAUCCCGACGAUACGAUACAUCUAAUUACCGACGGAGCGGUAGAUGGGCCCUCAAAUAGCAGCUUUGUCCCACUCGAGCGGGUUAGGAGGUGGAGUCACUGUUGGGGAAUUCGACAGGAAUUCUCUUUUUAGGCGGAGCCUUUCGGUUGCAGUUCUUGUUCGCCUUCCCGCGUAGUGGGUACCGUAUGAGGUUUUAGUUGCCUUAGAAAAAAAAGAGGUAAGAAAGAUCAUGAUUUCGUAAGGCAAGGCCAGUUUGAUUCAUUCUUUGACUUUGAAUUAAUGGGUUUUAGUAGGGUCCUUUGUCCUCUUUGCGCUCCUUAAUAGUAAUAGUCGCUUGGCUUCGCAUCUUCAUAUUUGUAAUAGUCUUCGUCUAGUGGAAUUCUUUCGUUGCACUCCGUCCUCUUGACUCCUUUUCUCUCUUCUUUUCAUGCCUUUCGUAAACUCUUUCUUCAUUGAUUCAGUUUUUUUUCUCGCUAUUUCAUAAUGCACUCCUUCUUAUUGGAUAAGGAAGGAAUGAGCUUGAAACUCCUCGCAUAUUGAAUUGGGCCUCUACAUUAUUUGAUUUUGAGUCGAGUUAUUUCAUAACCUCCGGACCGUCCUCUUGACUCGUCUUUUCUCUUUCUAUUAUAUUUGAUAUUUGGUUUAGUGGAAUCUGACUCCGUAGGAGGCUUCGCAUCUUAAUGUUUUAUAUAGUCUUUUCAAAUCAUAAGAACCUUGCCGUAGGUCGUUUUCUCAAUCAUAAAGACCUCUUUACUCUAAAAGGUCGGAUCGUCCGCUGUACCCGCCCACUACGCGGUUGAAAGAUCAGUUUCUCUUUCUGUCGUUGUGGCAAAGCCAUUAUUCUAAAUAUGGUAUAUUCACGAGUAGGAUGAAAUACGGAUUGAUGAAAAAGUCAAUUCAGAGUUCUGGGACAAAGACUCCCAGAAACCGGAGGCAAGGUUAUUCCAUAGCGAGACCGGUCCGGAGGCUCAAAGGAUAUUGAGCGAUGGCGCAAAGAAUAUAUAGAAGGUGCGGGUUAUUCAAAUUUCAGGAUCAGGACUCUAAGAAUAGACCUCUCUUUCUCCGGAACACAAACUCAAACUAGAAGUGAGAAAUGUGAAUUUCUGGGAUAGGAGUUCUUCUUGAAUUGCUAUUUCCCGGCUUUUUUGCUUCUUUUUCAUAGUUUUUCUCAUAUUGAUAUUUAACGAAAAUAGAUCAAUUUUGACUGAUUUUUUGUCUUUUCUUGCUACUUCCUAUGGGCAAAACCUUGCAAAAUCAUGUAUUUCACUCCGUCAAAAAGACUAAAAUCGAUGUCUGAAAUCUCCCAUAUUCACCUCUUUCUUUUUCAUUCCCAUUUUUUUCUUCUUUCAUUAUCGUUAAUGAGUUCAUUCUUUCUCUCAACUCCUCUUGAGAUAAUUCUUUGAGCCUUCCUGAUGGAUAGUCCUUCGGACCUGUCUUAUGGAACCAACCUCUCCUUACAGUCGAGCCGCUUUCGCUCCUCUCCUCGAUCAAGAGGUUAUUAGUCUCAAAGGAAGAGGAAGUAAUAUAAUAGCUCGACGUUCAAGGGCACAUACUGAGUUUACGAAGAAGAGGAGAAAUGAGUUUACGAACGAUCUAGGGAAGAGUUGAAUCUUUUCUUGCUGUGGAAGUAGCUGAAUAAGGCUCUUUCUGAAGUGGUUGAAGGAGAGGUUCUAGCUUUUCUUGUUCCGGUUUCAUAAGUGGCAGUGGACAUUGGCAGCCUCAGCUGCUAUCUCUCUUGCCCAAGCAAGGCAAAUAUCAAGGCUUAAAACGAGAAAUCCUGGGAUUGUAAUGUCCCAGUUGGUUAGUCUCUAAUACUGUGAUUUGACUAUUUCAUGAUUCCACGUUCUUUAAGGAAGAAAGGUCAGACGGAGAAGUCAGAUAAUCAGCCGUAGCCCAUCCAAUAAGGAAGAACAGACUAAAAAGUCAGAUAAGACUUAAGGCGCGAAGCGACAACCUACUAAACCUACGGCAGAACUGGAGGCAAGGGGCGAAGAGAAGAUACCGUAGGUCAGACUAUUACAAAGAAGAAGAAGACGAUAAGACGAUCAGACGAUAUUGAAUGCUCCGAAUCGUCUUCCUUCCGGCUUUCCCUUCUUUUUUCUUCUGGGGAAUCUUCCCCCUUAUCUUUUUCCGGCUUUCUCGGAAAGAUCCCUUGAACUGUGACUGGGCUGCGCCUUUGAUUCUGAGUACUUUAUCUAAGAGUACUUUAUCUAAGAGUUCUCGAUCCGAGUAGAUCGUAGAUCGGAUCGGCUUUGCCUUUUCUUUUCCUUCUUUAUCCGGGGAAUCCUCCCCCUUGACUUUAUCCGGUAAAUUCCCCUUGACUGACUUAGGGGCCGAGAGGUACUAGCUCGGUAUCGUCAUUCCCUUCUUCGAGAUCUACGAUCGGUAUCGGCUUUGCCUUUUCUUUUCCUUCUUUAUCCGGGAAAUUGUCCUUGACUUAGGGGCCUUCCGGCCUCGACUCCUUCUUCUUCUUUAUGCUGUGGGGAAACCUUCCCCUUACCUUUUUCUUCUGGGGAAUUCCCCUUUACCUAGGGGCCUUUAGGCCUCCUUCCCUUCUUUUUCCUCUGGAGAAACCUUCCCCUUAUAGUAGUUCCCUUCUUUUUCCUCUCUCAAAUUCUUUGAUCCUCCCCUUUCAAUCAAGGAAGUUGCCGAUAGGCCUCGACUCCUUCCCUUCUUUCUCCUCUGGGGGAAUCCUCCCCCUUGACUUUAUCCGGCUUUCUCUUUUGUCUUCCUUCCGGCCGGCGGCCUUUGCCUUAGUUCGUGGUAGAUCCGAGGAGAUCGGAUCGGCUUUGCCUUUUGUCUUCCCCCUUAUCUUUAUGCUGUGGGGAAACCUUCCCCUUAUAGUAGUUCCCUUCUGUAUCCUGUGGGGAAUGCUCCCCUUUCAAUCAAGGAAGUUUCCGAUAGGCACUGAAGGAAAGUCAAGGCCGAUAGGCUAAGCUCUUGACUCAUUCAUUCCAUAUUACUAGAACCCAGAAGACGAUUCCGUCUGAUCGUCUUCUUUCCUCAAUAUUCUUUGAACCUGAUUUUGCUUUAUUCUUUGGGGAAUCUUCCCCCUUAAAUAACUAAAGUCCGAUAGGUACCUUCUUUAUUUCAAUCAAGGAAGUUGCCGAUAGGCACUCAAGGAAAGGGCCUUUAGGCCGAGAGUCGGCUUUGCCUUUUGUCUUCCUUCUUUCCGGCUUUGCCUUAUCUUAUUAUAUUAGUUCGUGGUAGAUCCGAGGAGAUCGGAUCGGCUUUGCCCUUUUGUCUUCCUUCAGUGAACAGGAAAGUGCUGGAGUUGUACGUAUCUACUGCCUUGCCCACUUGUUCAGGGGAUCGGCCCAGGCUAGAAGAAUGAUCCUAGAGCGUGGCGCCUCGAAAACAAACUUUUUGUGAAUAUCUCAUCAGCUCCGUCAUGAAAAAUCAUGAAAGGAGGCGCCAUUACGGUUCCUCAAGCGGAGAGCGCGCCCCGGGAGUCUAACCCGGUCGUCUCGCCAAGAUAAGAGAGUACGGCGCCGUGCAAGGAUUUACCUCUUCUCUUUGCCCUUCCUCUCCAUCUUGUUUCUCACCUGACCUUGCAUAGUUUCGAUCUGUCUGCAAGAACCCGAUUAGCUGAUUGAUUCUUCGUUUGUAUGAGUGCGGGACGCUCCAUCAAUUCACCAACAGAAAUAAGGAGCCCCCAUACAAUCAAUAGUCGAUACGGGCUUUCGUCCCGUAAAGCGCAUGGGGCACGUUCUAGGAUGGAGGAUGGGGUUCUUCUAGGUACGUAGCAAUCCAUACUUUCUACUAUUCACUGAUUCGUUCUUGCCGAAAGAAGGACGUACCGACCUCACUUCCUUCCGACAAGGGCUCUACCUCUACUUCUGAAACUCAAAACGUCGGACCUUGGUCGCUUUAUACAGAGGAUCCCAGAGGGCUUGAUUGCUCAAGAGCCGUAGGAUUUCCCUCCCUGGUACCCAUGCUAAGGUGUUCUUAGAAAUUCUCCUUACAAGAGAUUCCGUACAAGUGUAAGUUACUUUUCUAAGAGGAACCUUAACUAUGAUGCGGAUUCAAUUGGCAUCUCCCUGCUCUAUGGUCUUUACACGACCGAGUCUAAAUGUCCCCCUCCCAGUACCUAUUACCUUCAGUCCCAGGGCUUCGGAUUUUGAACUGCGUCACCUACGUCAAUAUUCUUUGAACCUUGGUACUACGAUCGGAGAUCAGAUCAAAAAGGCUCUUUUCCGGCUUUCUCUUUUCUGUCCUCCUUCCGGCCGGCCUCAAUAUUCUUUGAACCUUCUUUAUCCGUGGAAUCUUCCUUUUCUGCCUUUCCCGCUCCGUGGGCGUAGUUCGUGGUAGAUCCGAGGAGAUCGGAGAUCGGAUCCUAUCGCCUUUCCCUUUUGUCUUCCGAGAGUCGGCUUUGCCUUUUCUGUCUUCCUUCCGGCUUUCCCUUUUCUUUUCCUUCUUCGAAAUAUUCUUUGACCCUGAAAGUAGUUCCCUUCUGAGAGAUCGGAUCGGAGAUCGGAUAGGUACCUCCGUUAAAUCAAGGAAAGUCAAGGCCUUCCGGCCUCGAGUCCUUCCCUUCUUUCUUCCCUAGAUCCGAGGAGAUCGGAGAUCGGAUCGGUAUCCGCUUUCCCUUUUGUCUUCCUUCCGGCCGGCCGGCUUUCCCGCUCCGUGGGCGUAGUUCGUGGUAGAUCCGAGGAGAUCGGAGAUCGGAUCCUAUCUGCUUUCUCUUUUGUCUUCCUUCCGGCUUUGCCUUACCCUGAGUUCGUGGUACCCUUUAUUUCAUUUAGGGUCCGAGAGUCGGCUUUGCCUUCUUCUCGAUUCAUUGACUCGGAUUCAACCUUCAAACUUGCUGGCUGUCUUCCUUCUUUAUCCUGUGGGGAAUCCUCCCCCUUGACUUUAUCCGAAGAAUUCCCCUUUACCUAGGGGCCUUUAGGCCUCCUUCCCUUCUGAGAGAUCGUAGAUCGGAUCGGCUUUGCCUUUUGUCUUCCUUGAGAGUAGGCUUUCCCUUUUUCAUAGAGUUCGUGGUACCCUUUAGUUAGGGGCCCUCCGGCCGAGAGUCUGCUUUCCCUUUUUUUUCUUUUCCUUCUUCGGGGAAUUAAGUAGUUCCCUUCUUUAUCCUCUAGGGAAUCUGAAAUCAAGGAGGUUGCCGAUAGGGACCGAACCUAUUCCUUCCCCUUACCUUAAAUCAAGGAAAGUCAAGGCCUUUAGGCCGAGAGGGACUAGCUCGGUAUCGGCUUUGCCUUCUUCGAGAUCGGAGAUCGGAUAGGCACUUUCAAUCAAGGAAAGUCAAGGCCUUUAGGCCGAGAGUAGGCUUUGCCUGAUUUAUCCCUUUAUCCUGUGGGGAAUCCUCCCCCUGACCUUGAAAGGAAAGUCAAGGCCUUUAGUUUAGGCCGAGAGUGAGAGUAGUUCCCUUCUGAGAGAUCGGAUCGGAGAUCGGAUAGGAUGCCUGUCUUCCUUCCUUCCGAGAGUCGGCUUUGCCUUCCGGCCGGCUUUGCCUUUUUCAGAGAGUUCGUGGUACCCGGUCCGAGAGUCUGCUUUCCCUUCUGAGAGAUCGGAGAUCGGAUCGUAGAUCGGAUGCCUGUCUUCCUUCUUUCUCCUGUGGGGAAUCCUUCCCCCUUAAAUAAGUAAAGUAAAGGCCUUUAGGGACCGAACCUAUUCCUUAGCCUUAAGUCAAGGCCUUUAGGCCGAGACUCCUUCCCUUCUUCCUUCCCUAGAGGAGAUCGGAUAGGGACCUUAAAGAAAUAAAGGAAACUAAAGGCCUUUAGGCCUUGAGUCUGCUUUCCCGCUCCGUGGGCUUAGUUCAUGGUAGAUCCGAGGAGAUCGCAGAUCGGAUCGGCCCUUUUGUCUUCCUGAGAGAGUCGGCUUUGCCUUUUUCAGAGAGUUCGUGGUACCCCUUAAAUCAAGGCCUUUAGGCCGAGAGUCUGCUUUCCCUUUUCUUUUCCUUCUUUAUCCUGUGGGGAAUGCUCCCCCUUAAAUAAAGGAAGUUAAGAUAGGCAUCUCCUUUAAAUCAAUGAAAGUCAAGGCCGAUAGGCCGAGAGUCCUUCCCUUCUUCGAGAUCUACGAUCGUAUAGGUACCUCCUUUAAAUCAAGGAAGUUAAGAUAGGCACUCAAGGAAAGGAAAGUCAAGGGUAAAGGCCUUCCGGCCUCGAGUCCUUCCCUUCUUCCCUAGAUCCGAGGAGAUGAGAUCGCAGAUCGGAUCGGUGUCUUCCUUCCGACCGAAAGUCGUCUUUGCCUUUUGUCUUCCUUCUUUCCGGCUUUGCUUUCUUCGAGAUCGGAGAUCGGAUAGGGACCUCCUUUAUCUUCUGGGGAAUCUUCUCCUUAUCUUUUUCCGGAAAAUUCCCCUUAACUUAACUUAGGGGCCGAUAGGCACCUUAAAGCAAUCAAGGAAAGGUUCUACCUUUACUUUAGAGAGGUACUAGCUCGGUAUCGUCUUUUCCUUCUGUAUCCUGUGUGUGGGGAAGAUUCCCCCUUAUCUUUCAUAGGGGAAUUCCCCUUUACUUAGGGGCCUUCCGGCCGAGACUCCUUCCCUUCUUCGAGAUCGUAGAUCGGUAUCGUCUUUCCCUUCUUUUUCUGUAUCCUUUGGGGAAGAUUCCCCUUAAAUCAAGGAAGUUGCCGAUAGGCACCGCUCCGUGGGGGAUUCCUUCCCCUUUGCCGAGAGUCCUUCCGUCCGAGAGUGGGGAAUCCCUGAGAUCGGAGAUCGGAUCCUAUCGUCUUUGCCUUUUGUCUUCCUUCCGGCCGGCCCUUCCCUUUUUCAGAGAGUUGUGGUACCCGGCCGAUAGGGCCCGGGAAACCUUCCCCUAUUUAGGUUCCGAGAGGGACCGACUUUGCUUUGCCUUUUCUUUUCCUUCUUUAUCUGUGGAAUCUACGAUACCCAAAGGCCUUCCGGCCGAGAGUGGGGAAUCCCUGAGAUCGGAGAUCGGAUCCUAUCUGCUUUCUCUUUUGUCUUCCGAGAGUAGGCUUUCCCUUACCGCUCCGUGGGUUCGUGGUACCCGGGCCGAUAGGCCGAGAGUGAGAGUAGUUCCCUUCCUUAUCUGGGGAAUCCCCCUUUUCCGGCUUUGCCUUACCCGCUCCGUGGGUUCGUGGUACCCGGGCCGAGAGUGGGCUUUGCCUUCAGAGAGAUCGGAUCGUAGAUCGGAUCGGAUGGCUGUCUUCUUUCUCCUCGGAUGGCUGUCUUCUUUCUCCUGUGGGGAAUCUUCCCCCUUAUCUUAUCUUUAUCCGGGAAACCUCUUCCCCUUAGAGUAGUUCCCUUCUUUCUCCUGUGGGGAAUCCUCCCCUUUAAGGAAGUUUCCGAAGAAAUAAAGUCAAGUCAAGCAAGGCCGAUAGGCCGAGAGUGAGAGUAGUUCCCUUCUUCCCUAGAUCCGAGGAGAUCGUAGAUCGGAUCGGUCUCUUCCUUCCUUCCGGCCGGCUUAGGAGAUUUCCUGGAAAAAGGAUGGGAUUUGAUCAAAUGGUCUUGAUUUUGACUUCGGAGACGAUAGGCAGGCAGGGCAGAAAGUAGAAGAUACAUUUUUUCUUGCGCGAGAUCCAGCAAAGAAAGAAAGAGCCGGAACAGAUCGAAGAACGAGAAUCUUCCACCUCUUUCAACCGCUCUCUCCUUGCCCGGAAUGAUACCCGAUACGCAACAUCUCUUUCUAACUUUCCCCUACGAACUUCUUGGAACUCAUACAUAGCUUGACUAAGAGAAUCUAAAGUAAAGGCUUGCCGCUCCUUCGACUGAUUGAAAGCAUCGGAUCUCAGGUUCUCUAUUGCACUCCCUAAAUAGGGUUCGAAGAAGGGAGACUAGAGAGGAGAGGGUCAAAGUUCGGUUAAUUACGGAAAGUCCGACUUCGGUUAAUUACGGAUGGUCCUACUUCGGUUAAUUACGGAUGGUCCUACUUCCAUAUGGAUAGUCCUACUUCGGUUAAUUACGGAUGGUCCUACUUCCAUAUGGAUAGUCCUACGGAUAAGAAUCCUCCGGACCCUGGACCUUUCUUUCUUUAAUGGAUAGUCCUACGGAUAAAUCCUGCGGACUGCGGACUCCGGACUACGGAUAAAUCCUGCGGACUGCGGACCCUGGACCUUUCUUUGAUGGUGCGAAGGCGCAAAGAAUAUUGCGGUUUGGAGGAGAGGCUCAAUGUAAUAUGAGUUGAGGCGCAUGAAAUUCAGAGGUGCAAAGAAUAUUGCGAAAAGAGCGGUCGAAGAACUUAUUCUACAGAAAGAGCAGCCACAUCGUCUGGCCCAAGAGCCUACUUAAAUAAAAGAGGGUGAGGUCCCCAGGUGGUUCAUCGACUGAUUCCUCCCCCGCCCGGGCCUUUCUGACUCUUUCUUAUUCCGAAACUGAGACAGAUGAAAGGUGCCACUUCUUCCCCCUCUAAUUCUGCCUUUGAAUUCCCCAAUGAUCCUUGUUUUGAUUCAUUCAUGUGAGUGGCAGCAAGAAAAAGAGAGGCAAAUAACCGUAAUUAAGAGUCACAAACGAGUUCAGCUACCUUUCCUACCCCUCCAGAUCGAUCCCCCCAAAAACAAAGGGCUAGAUAAUAUUCUUUGCGCCUUCUGACUAUUCAUCCUAUUUCUUUAGGAGGACUCAUAUAAGAAUGUGGCCCCACUCCUAGGUUAGCGAGAAGGAAUCCGAAUCUCUGGAUUAGUGGAUUAAGAGCCAUGUUCGCUCGGUAGCUGCAGUGGUGGUUGAUGUCUCAUCCCUUCUUUCAGGUUUCGCUUCAUCGGCUGAGCCAGCUCUCGUCCUUUAGCUGGACAAACCUUCUUUCUUUCAUUGAAUUCCCCACGAAUACCGUGAAAAGGCAUGAAAACGUAAACCACUGAACUUAGUUCGCUAAGAGAAAGCCGUCAGUCCCAUAACAUGAAACUUAAGGAAAGAAUGCCCAACGGAGUCUUUCAUUUAAGCUAUUUCUUUGGUUCGGUAUUGAAUAACUAAAAGCGAGAGUUCUGGUUGGGGAAGAGUGGACGCGCCCUCAUUUAAGAGAAUUGGACGCCCCGCCCUGGCAAUAAUAGAGUCAGCGAAGCAUCGGGUAAGGGGACUCAGAUGAGACAGCCGCUGUGUCUCUUGAAGUACCACUUCUUUGAAUGCGACUAUGGGUUCAAUUCAUUCACGUGGAAUCGAGUCAAAUAACAGAAAUAGAGACUAAGCGGAGUACAUAAAUACGCCUUGAAUGCGGCCUUACGAUCUGCCCCAAGAUAAGAAGCAACUGAAGAAAGAGGAGGACAAGAAAAGCAACUCCAACUCCCACCGGACCACGAUACUUUUCAUUGACUUCUCUUCCCAACCGCUACGUGGGGUUAAAGAAAGAAUUCCUCUCCAAAGAAAAAUCGAGCCCUCACGCACCCGUCAGAAAUGGGAUAAAAUAGAUGGGAGAUAAAGGUGAUAAGAGCUCUAUGGGGAAAGAAGAAACCUACUCGAGCCGAGAUAGGAUGAGGCGCAACAAGAUUUAGUUCCAUUAAUCAGUCAGAAAGACAUUCUUUCUUUUUGUUAGGCGCAAAGUAAGCCCUUCUAAUUCCGGAGGAUUUAUCCGUAGGACUAUCCAUUAGGAGAGCUGAAAAGAAUAUAGUAGCAAGAAAUCAUGAAAAAUCAGUCAAUAAAGAAUAGACCCGUAUUUCUCCGGACCAGAAACUCAAAGUUUGAACAAACUAUGUGAAUUUCGAAAAUCAAAUAGGACAAUGCCUUGCAAUUUCCCGGCUUUUUUGCUUCUAAAUAGGACUUUUUCGACUUUUCUUAUCUAACGAAAAUAGAUCAAAAAUGACUGAUUUUUCAUGAUUUCUUGCUACUAUUUCUUUUCAGCUCUCCUUAUCAGUCGAGCCCAAAACCUAGCAAAAUCUUGUAUUUCCCUCCGUAAAAACAAGGUUAUGAAAUCCGAAUUAUUCUUGAAUUCGAGUUAAUGAGUGAAUUAUUCUUUUCUUUGAUUGACUUUGAACAGGUCCUUCGGCUAGGCGCAAAGUUCGGUUAAUUACGGAUGGUCCUACUUCGGUUAAUUACGGAUGGUCCUACUUCCAUAUGGAUAGUCCUACGGAUAAGAAUCCUCCGGACUCCGGACUACGGAUAAAUCCUGCGGACUCCGGACGUAGGACUACUUCGGUUAAUUACGGAUGGUCCUACGGAUAAAUCACCUGGACCUUUCUUUGGCCCUGCGGACGUAGGACCCUGGACCUUUCUUUGGCACUCCGGACUGGAUCUUCUAGGAGUUUUCUACCUUUCAAUUCUUGACUAUCAAAAGACCUACGGCAAGGGGUUGAUGAUGACGAAGACUAUGUAAAAGAUUAGUAUGCGAAGCCAAGCGACUGUAUAUAAUCUAAAAAGAAAGGACUCCCUAGGACUUAGGUCUUUAUGAUUUAGAAGACUAUCAUUUAAGAGGAGCGCAAUUCAAUAUUCUUUGAACCUUCGGAAAAGAUGAACCGAAAAUCGAUUAGAUUAUGCUGAAGGAGGGAGCGCAAAGAGGACGACGGACUCCGGACCGGCUGGCCAGCCAAUAAGUUGCUUUCGAAAAGAAUAAGUUGCUUUGUCUUAGAAUAGGUUGAAUGAGAAAUUGAACUAGAAAUCUUUGAUGAACAAAUAGCGUAAGUAAUAGCAGAAAACCUACGGAAUAUACUCGUCCUCCGCGGUAGUGGUUGCGAAGAAUUCAGAUCCUUUCCUUACUUUAGAACGCCAGCGCCCAAGAAGCCUUUAUUUACUAAGGCUGGUCCACGUAUGGUUAGUACAAACCUCUUGAGAAGAAGCUGAUCUCGGAACUUUCCAUGAACUAUGACGGUAGACAAAGCUUUGUAUCUCGAUCUUCUUCUUCUCUUUCAAAAGAAAACCCUCUUCCAGUAUAUAAUAGCUAUUCAUACUCAUCUGGAUCUUUGUUUUUGGGUCCUUUUUAUUUGACUAUUCAUCAUAUUUUCUUGCAGACGAAGUCCUUAAAGAUGAACCGAAAAUCUUCUUUGAGCCUUCCUGAUGGAUAGUCCUUCGGACCUGUCUUAUGGGGCCUCAGUAGCUUAAUUCUGAAAAAUCCAUAUUAGCCUUCUCACAUUCCCUAAUGGAUAGUCCUUC
rnacentral:lncRNA from 1 species